AAAAAACCGACACAGGUGGGCAAGCUGAGAAGGCUAAAGGGAGCGGAAGAACCUCCGUUAAGGAACUAGGCAAAAUGACCUCGUAACUUCGGGAAAAGAGGUGCUCCUAAAGGUGUCAAAACCGGAAGGAGUUGCAGUGACAAGGCCCUGCCGACUGUUUACCAAAAACACAGGUCUAUGCGAAUUCGGAAAGAAGAAGUAUAUGGACUGACGCCUGCCCAGUGCUGGAAGGUUAAGGGGAGUGGUGCAAGCUACGAACCGAAGCCCCAGUAAACGGCGGCCGUAACUAUAACGGUCCUAAGGUAGCGAAAUUCCUUGUCGGGUAAGUUCCGACCUGCAUGAAUGGCGUAACGAGUUGGGCGCUGUCUCAACGGAGGAUCCGGUGAAUUUCCAGACUGGGUGAAGAUGCCCAGGACCCGCAGUUAGACGGAAAGACCCCAUGGAGUUUUACUGUAACUUGAUAUUGUAAUUUGUUGUUAUGUGUACAGGAUAGGUGGGAGGCGGAGAAUCAAGGUCGUCAGAUUUUGAGGAGCCGACGGUGGGAUACCACCCUCAUGAUAAUGGAUUACUAACUAUUGUGUAUGAAGAGUACAGAUAGGACAGUGUUAGGUGGGCAGUUUGACUGGGGCGGUCGCAUCCUAAAGAGUAUCGGAUGCGUGCGAAGGUAGGCUCAGGUUGGUUGGAAAUCAACCGUUGAGUGCAAGGGCAAAAGCCUGCCUGACUGCGAGACUGACAGGUCGAGCAGAAGCGAAAGCUGGUCCUAGUGACCCGGCCGAUCCGAGUGGAAGGGCGGUCGAUCAACGGAUAAAAGUUACCCUGGGGAUAACAGGCUAAUCACGCCCGAGAGUUCACAUCGACGGCGUGGAUUGGCACCUCGAUGUCGGCUCAUCGCAUCCUGGGGCUGAAGCAGGUCCCAAGGGUUGUGCUGUUCGCACAUUAAAGCGGUACGUGAGCUGGGUUCAGAACGUCGUAAGACAGUUCGGUCCCUAUCUGCUGUGGGUGAAGGAAGCUUGAAGGGAGUCGCUUCUAGUACGAGAGGACCGAAGUGAGUGUACCUCUGGUGAACCAGCUGUCAGGCCAAUGGCAGGAGCUGGGUAGCUAAGUACGUAACAGAUAACCGCUGAAAGCAUCUAAGCGGGAAACUGACCCUAAGAUGGAGCUUCCCAUUCGUAAGAAGUAAGGGUUGUUCGAGACUAGGACGUUGAUAGGUCGCAGGUGUAAGUGCAGUGAUGUAUUGAGCCGAGCGAUACUAAUAGCCCGAGGCUUUGGACG
rnacentral:rRNA from 1 species